rnacentral:lncRNA from 1 species
GUUUUAGUAUAAAUAAAAGAUUUCUCAAAAUUUAGAAAAUCGUGCCCCAUGAUAGUUCAUUUCAAUGCAGUCGCAUGGAACAUUUGAAAACACUCAAUUUGGCCUCGAUAUGAAGCUAUGUGGUCGCAUGCAUUUUAAGCAAUGCAGUGCAUAGCUUUAAACUUGACAUCUCUUUUUACUUGUACAGAAUUUUGCGACGACUCUGGACUGCACUCAUUAGCGAAAAUUCAACAACCAAGCUGAAAUGUAUGGCCUUUUUUAUCUACACUGUUUGUUUUUCUCAUAUAUCUUCAAAAACUUGAAUCCCAUGCUCCAAACUUGCCACCAUCUUUAUGUCCAACAUCUAAGUUUUUAUUUGGCUUGUUGCACUCGAUCUCCUGGCCUCUUCAUCUCGGAUAACUCAUUUCGUGACCAACUUAAUCCUCAAUAGCUCUUAAUCUUGCAUUUGGUUCAUCUUCAAGUUUAGCAGGAUCUUUGUAAUUUGUUGUCUUCCUUAGAUCAUAUCAUCUAGCAAGACCUAAAACCCAUAAUUUGAACAAAGGGAAAAAUUCAACAAACCCAUCGAAAUAUAUGCAUUUCUAUAAUAUACUCAUUAGUUGAAACAUGGCUAUAACUUGUGCAAAUUAUGAUGUGGGAACUAAAAAGACAUCAUAUUUCUUUCUUUCUUUCUUGUUUGUUUUAUUUUAUUUGUUAGGAUCUUCCUCUUGCUGCUCACGGUGAUUUUCGGGCUCAGUUAACUAUUAAAACCGAAUUCAACAUCAAAUUGGAGUCACCAAUAACCGCCGGCGCCUCUUCCCACUUGGUUGCUUUCCUCCUUUGCUUUGUUGAUUUAAUGCACACACUUAGGAUGGAUACCACUCAGGUAAGGUUCACAAAGACUCAAACAAUUGGGAUGGAGAAGAAAUCACGAAGAAGAUGAAGGCAGAAAAACAUGGCAUAACACGGCAGCUUCUAUCUCUCACGGCUUCAAC